rnacentral:misc_RNA from 1 species
CCGUAGGGUGAACCUGCGGAAGGAUCAUUACUGAGUGCGGGCUGCCUCCGGGCGCCCAACCUCCCACCCGUGAAUACCUAACACUGUUGCUUCGGCGGGGAACCCCCUCGGGGGCGAGCCGCCGGGGACUACUGAACUUCAUGCCUGAGAGUGAUGCAGUCUGAGUCUGAAUAUAAAAUCAGUCAAAACUUUCAACAAUGGAUCUCUUGGUUCCGGCAUCGAUGAAGAACGCAGCGAACUGCGAUAAGUAAUGUGAAUUGCAGAAUUCAGUGAAUCAUCGAGUCUUUGAACGCACAUUGCGCCCCCUGGCAUUCCGGGGGGCAUGCCUGUCCGAGCGUCAUUGCUGCCCAUCAAGCCCGGCUUGUGUGUUGGGUCGUCGUCCCCCCCGGGGGACGGGCCCGAAAGGCAGCGGCGGCACCGUGUCCGGUCCUCGAGCGUAUGGGGCUUUGUCACCCGCUCGACUAGGGCCGGCCGGGCGCCAGCCGACGUCUCCAACCAUUUUUCUUCAGGUUGACCUCGGAUCAGGUAGGGAUACCCGCUGAACUUAAGCAUAUCAAUAAGCCGGAGGAAA